UACGAAGUGGACUAGCGUUGUUCGGAUUUACUGGGCGUAAAGCGCGCGUAGGCGGAUCGCUAAGUCAGGGGUGAAAUCCCAGGGCUCAACCCUGGAACUGCCUUUGAUACUGACGAUCUGGAGAUCGGGAGAGGUUGGUGGAAUUCCGAGUGUAGAGGUGAAAUUCGUAGAUAUUCGGAGGAACACCAGAAGCGAAGGCGGCCAACUGGCCCGAUACUGACGCUGAGGCGCGAAAGCGUGGGGAGCAAACAGG
rnacentral:rRNA from 1 species